CUCUGUUUUCCCCAACCCAGUAACUCAUUAUUGGUCCGUCUCAUGGACAAAGUGACCAUCUCACACAGAGGGCGAGAGACUCCCCAGGGGCACAGAAGGGAAGCUGAAGCUGAGGCUGGGGGUGGGCAGUGUGCUGCAGGGAGCAAGAAGGAACUGCCUGCUGGCUGGAAUUCCUGGGUCUCCUCUGGAAGAGGGCGCAGGAUUAUAUAUUACUUCUCCUGGCGGAGAACCUGGAGACAUUCUCUGCCUGCAUUCAAGGAAUGUGCCUAAAUGUGGACAAAAUAUGCAUCCCCUCCAGCGUCAUAUGAAGUUAUCCAUCUCUGGCACUGGAAUAAAAUAAAUUGCUGUUAAAAUCUUGACUCAGCUGUCGACCUUAAGUCAUUUACUCUUUCUUAUCUGCAAAAUAGGAAUGACGACACCUUCCUGGCCAGGCUGUGGUGAAGAUGAUGAUCCUGUUUAUAGGUUGUCUUGUCUGAUGCCUGGCACACAGUAGGGGCUCAACCAUUAUGUGCUUUUUAGUGAACACCUCCAUGUAGGCUCCAAGAACAGAAUCCACUGUGGCCUCCCUGUUUCUCCUGCUCCCGUGGCAGGUCCCACAGCUGCCGGGGAGAAGCAUCUGAAUAUUCCUGUCCUGACUGUCACAAGAAGGUCUGCUGAUGUCUGACAAGGGGCAAAAAAAGGGGAAUCAGAGUGAUGGAAAGAGAAGGAAAAAAGAGACAAAGGGGCAUGAAAAAGAGAAAAAGGCAAUUGUGUAAUUAUAAAAGAUAAUAUAAAUGCAUAUUUCCUUUUUCUCUCUUAACUGACUUAAAAACAAUUGUAUAAAAUAAUAUGUUUAUAGUAUAUUGCAGGGAGUGUAAACUACAGAAAUGUACAAAAACGGCACAAAGGAUGUGAGUGGGAACAGAGCUGCACUGGGCUAAGGAAAUGACUACAGAGAGCAAAUGAACAAUUCUAGCAAUGUAUUGUUAGGUUUGUAACAUUAAUAGAUGUUAUAUGUAUACCAGUGAUACCAUGAAAAGGGGGGAAAUACAAUAGAGCUAUAUAGGGAUAACAAUACUUUACAUCACUGAGGUUAAGCUAGGAUGAAUCUGAAACUGAUUUUGAUAAGUUAAGAUAUACAUGGUAGGCCCUAGAGCAAUCACUAAAAACAUAACCCCCAAAUUAGGGGAGGGACAGUGGGGGUAGGGAGUUGGGGAGAGACAGCAUGGGGAGAAAUGCCAGAUAUAGGUGAUGGGGAGGAAGGCAGCAAAUCACACUGCCAUGUGUGUACCUAUGCAACAAUCUUGCAUAUUCUUCACAUGUACCCCAAAACCUUAAAUGCAAUAUAGAAAAAACAAAAAACAUAACCCCAAAAUCUAGUGAAAAAAUUAUCAAAAAAAUAUAAUGCUGUAUUAGAAAAUAAUACAAUAGAAGGAGUAGAAGAGAAUAGCAAAACAAAAAAAGAGACAUGGGACAUAGAAAAUAAAAAGUAAAAUGGCAAAUGUCAAUGUAGCUGUAUCAAUAAUAUAUUAAAUGAAUGAAUUAAGCAAUCCAGUCAAAGGGCCGAGAUUUUCAGACUGGAUAAAAUAUGAUUCAGCCAUAUGCUUUCUAUAAUACAAAAUACAAAAGAUAUAAAUAAACUGAAGAUAAAAAAAAUGGGAAAAGACAUAUUAUGCCAACAGCAACCACAAGAAAGCUGAGUGGCCAUGGAAAUGUUAGACAAAAUAGACUUUAAAACCAAAAAUAUUUGUACAAAGGGAGACGUUUUAUGAUGAUAAUAGCGUCAAUUCAUCAGGAAGAUACAACAAUUAUAAACAUAUAUGCAACUAAUAACUGAGUAUCCAAAUACAUGAAGCAAAAACUGGCAGAAAUGAAGAGAGAAAUGUGCAAUUCAACAGUAAUGGUUGGAAACUUAAAGAACUCACUUUCGGCCAGGCGCGGUGGCUCUCGCCUAUAAUCCCAGCACUUUGGGAGGCCAAGGCGGGUGGAUCACAAGGUCGAGAGAUCGAGACCAUCCCAGUCAACAUGGUGAAACCUCGUCUCUACUAAAAACACAAAAAUUAACUGGGCAUGGUAGCGCGUGCCUGUAAUCCCAGCUACUCAGGAGGCUGAGGCAGGAGAAUUGCUUGAACCCAGGAGGGGGAGGUUGCGGUGAGCUGAGAUCAUGCCAUUGCACUCCAGCCUGGGUAACAAGAGUGAAACUCUGUCUCAAAAUAAAAAAAAAACCUCACUUUUUUUUUGAGACGGAGUCUUGUUCUGUUAUCCAGGCUGGAGUGCAGUGGCACAAUCUUGGCUCACUCUAACCUCCCUCCCGGUUCAAGAGAUUUUCCUGCCUCAGCAUCCCGAGGAGCUGGGAUUAUAGGCAUGUGUCACCACUCCUGGCUAAUUUUUGUAUUUUUAGUAGAGACAGGGUUUCACCAUGUUGGUCAGGCUGGUCUCGAACUCCUGACCUCAUGAUCUGCCCACCUCGGCUUCCCAAAGCGCUGGGAUUACAAGCAUGAGCCACUGCACCUGGCCAAAACUCACUUUUAACAAUGUAUUGAACUAGACAUAAGAUUAACAAGAAAAUAGAAGGCUUGACUAACACUGUUAACUAAAUAGACCUAACAGGUAUCUACGGAACAUUCUGUACAACUACAGAAUAUAUAUUGUUUUUGAGUACACAUAGAACAUUCUCCAGGAGAGACUAUAAGCUAUAAAACAAGCCACAAUAAAUUUAAAAGAGUGGAAAUAAUACAAAGUACAAUAUCCAAUUACAAUAUGAAAUUAGAAAUCAAUAUCAGGGGGAAAAACCUUGUAAAACUCACAAAUAUGUAGAAAUUAAACAACAUAUUCCAAAAAAGCUAAUGGAUCAAAGAAGAAAUCAAAAGUGAAUCAGAAAAUGAUUUCAGAUGAGCAAAAAUAAAGACACAACAUACCAAAAUUCAUGGGAUAUGCAAAAGCAGUGCUAAGAAUGGAAAUUUAUAGCUGUAAAUGCCAAUAUUAAGAAAGAACAAAGAUUUCAAAUUAAUAACCUAACCUUCCACCUUAGGACACUUGAAAAAA
rnacentral:lncRNA from 1 species